UACAGAGACCUCGAGCGUUAUCCGGAAUUAUUGGGCGUAAAGCGUACCGAUCGGCGGUAUAAUUAGUCUGCUGUAAAAUCCCACGGCUCAACCGUGGACUCGCAGUGGAUACUGUUAUGCUUGAGGGACAUAGAGGUGCCUGGAACGAAUGGAGUAGCAGUGAAAUGCGUUGAGACCAUUCGGAACACCAAAAGCGAAGGCAGGGCACUGGAUGUCACCUGACGCUGCUAGGACGAAAGCGUGGGGAGCGAAUGGG
rnacentral:rRNA from 1 species